rnacentral:rRNA from 1 species
AUUGAACGCUGGCGGCAGGCCUAACACAUGCAAGUCGAACGAGUGGCGGACGGGUGAGUAAUGUCUGUGAAACUGCCUGAUGGCGGGGGAUAACUACUGGAAACGGUAGCUAAUACCGCAUACCAUCAGAUGUGCCCAUAUGGGAUUAGCGUGUUGGUGGGGUGACGGGGCACCACGGCGCCGAUCCCUAGCUGGUCUGAGAGGAUGACCAGCGACACUGGAACUGAGACACGGUCCAGACGCCUAAGGGAGGCAGGAGUGGAGAAUAUUGCACAAUUGGAGAAAGACUGAUGGAGCCAUGCAGCGUGGAUGAAGAAGGGAUUCGGGUUGUAGAGUACUUACAGCGGGGAGGCGUUACCCGCAGAAGAAGCACCGGCUAACUCCGUGCCAGCAGCCGCGGUAAUAC